rnacentral:rRNA from 1 species
AUUGAACGCUGGCGGCAGGCCUAACACAUGCAAAUCGAGCGGUAGCACAGAGAGCUUGCUCUCGGGUGACGAGCGGCGGACGGGUGAGUAAUGUCUGGGAAACUGCCUGAUGGAGGGGGAUAACUACUGGAAACGGUAGCUAAUACCGCAUAACGUCGCAAGGCCAAAGAGGGGGACCUUCGGGCCUCUUGCCAUCAGAUGUGCCCAGAUGGGAUUAGCUAGUAGGUGGGGUAACGGCUCACCUAGGCGACGAUCCCUAGCUGGUCUGAGAGGAUGACCAGCCACACUGGAACUGAGACACGGGCCAGACUCCUACGGGAGGAAGCAGGGGGGAAUAUUGCACAAUGGGCGCAAGCCUGAUGCAGCCAUGCCGCGUGUAUGAAGAAGGCCUUCGGGUUGUAAAGUACUUUCAGCGGGGAGGAAGGCGAUAAGGUUAAUAACCGCGUCGAUUGACGUUACCCGCAGAAGAAGCACCGGCUAACUCCGUGCCAGCAGCCGCCGUAA